UACGUAGGGUGCAAGCGUUGUCCGGAAUUAUUGGGCGUAAAGAGCUCGUAGGCGGUCUGUCGCGUCUGCUGUGAAAACUCAGGGCUUAACCCUGAGCUUGCAGUGGGUACGGGCAGACUAGAGUGCGGUAGGGGAGACUGGAAUUCUCGGUGUAGCGGUGAAAUGCGUAGAGAUCUGGAGGAACACCGAUGGCGAAGGCAGCCUUCUGGGCCAACACUGACGCUCAUGCACGAAAGCGUGGGGAGCAAACAGG
rnacentral:rRNA from 1 species